rnacentral:rRNA from 1 species
UACGAAGGGGGCUAGCGUUGCUCGGAAUCACUGGGCGUAAAGGGUGCGUAGGCGGGUCUUUAAGUCAGGGGUGAAAUCCCUCGGCUCAACCGAGGAACGUCGAUCGAUACUGCUGUUCUUGAGGAUUGCAGAGGAGACUGGAAUUCCCGGUGUAGCGGUGAAAUGUGUAGAGAUCGGGAGGAACACCGGUGGCGAAGGCGGGUCUCUGGGCAAUUCCUGACGCUGAGGCGCGAAAGCGUGGGGAGCAAACGGG